AGUUGAAGGUGUGUUUAAGUAGUUAGUUUUUGGUAGUCAUGAUUGGUAGUUUUGUGUCAAAUGUGUCCCUGACUUAUUUUACUGAAGAGAUCUUCGUCUUCCUGUCAAUCUUCCAUCACAUUCAUGCUGAUCUGCAGAUCAGGGGACAGUCCUAUUCUUGACCGUGGACCGCGCCUCUGGCUCGUCUAGGCUGUGGACCCCACCCCCACAAAAAGUGAACUAUUGGAUCAAUCAAAAAUUCUGUAAUUUUGUUACAUUUAAAAAUUGUAAUCAAAAUGUUUAAAUGAAGUAAACUACCAAGUAAAAAAUUUAAUUUGAUGAAAAAUAAUCAUUUUAAAUGUAAAAAAUUACAAAAUUUUUGUUAAUUGAUCCAGUGUUUUACCUUCAGUGUGGGGUAUAUAAUUAAAAUUCUUUUUUUUUUUUUUUUUUUUUUUAAGUCCCUCAGUUCUUAAUUGGAUUUUUAUGUCUGAUGUUCUUAGUUUUUUUUAAAUGUAUAUUUAUUGUACCUUUUAUUUUUGUUUAUAUAGUCUUAUUUGGACCUCGAGUCAAUAAUACAAUUAUUUAUUCAUAACUGAGAAUCCAUGUGGAAAACAUGCGGAUGGAAAGAAUAUUGUCUCUGAAUCCAUAGUCAUGCACAGCGGUGGAAGUGUGAUGAUUUAGUCUUAAACCAACUCAAAUCUUUUGCAGCUAAAAUCUUCCAAGCCAUAUUUUUUUUCAGAUAUUUUUUUACUUCGUAGUUGUGAUUUUUGAUCAACCUUUCUCAUGUACAGAAUGUUUUCUUCUCAGUCUCAAUUAAACAAAAAUAAAACUUU